rnacentral:rRNA from 1 species
UACGAAGGGUGCAAGCGUUACUCGGAAUUAUUGGGCGUAAAGGGCGCGUAGGCGGCUUUGCAAGUGGCGGGUGAAAUCCCUCGGCUUAACCGAGGAACUGCCUGCCAGACUGUGAGGCUUGAGACCGGGAGAGGUGAGUGGAAUUCCCAGUGUAGCGGUGAAAUGCGUAGAUAUUGGGAGGAACACCAGUGGCGAAGGCGGCUCACUGGACCGGAACUGACGCUGAGGCGCGAAAGCGUGGGGAGCAAACAGG